GUGUCCUACGGGACGCAGCAGUGAGGAAUAUUGGUCAAUGGGCGGAAGCCUGAACCAGCCAAGUCGCGUGAGGGAAUAAGGCCCUACGGGUCGUAAACCUCUUUUGCCGGGGAGCAAGGGCGGGGACGUGUCCCGGCCCGGAGGGUACCCGGAGAAAAAGCAUCGGCUAACUCCGUGCCAGCAGCCGCGGUAAUACGGAGGAUGCGAGCGUUAUCCGGAUUUAUUGGGUUUAAAGGGUGCGUAGGCGGGCUUUUAAGUCAGCGGUAAAAAUUCGGGGCGCAACCCCGUCCGGUCGUUG
rnacentral:rRNA from 1 species